GGUUGAGAUCUAUGAGGAUAUAACGGUAAUGCAUGCGAGCAAGGACGAGUUUGCGGCUCUGCUCUCAGAUCGAUGACCAAUAUGUGUUCACAGCAUUUUAUCAUAGAUUGAAACGUACGGAUCCAUGAGUACCAUAGGAGACAUCCAGCUGCACGCACUAGUUGUUGAUGCCAAUGAGGAACAUGAAGCACUGCUCAAACAGGAGCCUCAAGUGGAGAGAUGAAUGAUUGAUUCGCCUUCAGUGAGAUUGGAACUUAUCACUUGCCUUCAGACGAUUGAUAGCAACAACUAUCCUGAGGUACUAUCUAUACGAACAUCUUUUGGUCUAUAUUAUUUUUGUGGACAACACAACUGUGAGUUUUCUUGUUUUCAUUGCAGACUGUGAAUUGUAUGUUUAUCAUUAAUGCUGGUUCUGGU